UCCGGUUUGGCACCGGCAGUCUCCAAUGAGUCCCCGGCAUUACCCGCUGGCAACUAAGGGCAGGGGUUGCGCUCGUUGCGGCACUUAAGCCAACACCUCACGGCACGAGCUGACGACAGCCAUGCAGCACCUGUGCAGGGCCCCGAAGGACACGGGCUUUCACCCGCUUUACCCUGCAUGUCAAGCCCAGGUAAGGUUCUUCGCGUUGCUUCGAAUUAAGCAACAUGCUCCACCGCUUGUGCGGGCCCCCGUCAAUUCCUUUGAGUUUCAGUCUUGCGACCGUACUCCCCAGGCGGAGUGCUUAAUGUGUUGGCUGCGACACCGCGGGGGUCAAUACCCACAGCAUCUAGCACUCAUCGUUUACGGCGUGGACUAC
rnacentral:misc_RNA from 1 species